rnacentral:rRNA from 1 species
CCUACGGGUGGCUGCAGUGGGGAGUAUUGGACAAUGGGCGAAAGCCUGAUCCAGCCAUGCCGCGUGUGUGAAGAAGGCCUUCGGGUUGUAAAGCACUUUCAGUGGGGAAGAAAGCCUUGGGGCUAAUACCCUCGAGGAAGGACAUCACCCACAGAAGAAGCACCGGCUAACUCCGUGCCAGCAGCCGCGGUAAUACGGAGGGUGCGAGCGUUAAUCGGAAUUACUGGGCGUAAAGCGCGCGUAGGCGGUCUGAUAAGCCGGUUGUGAAAGCCCCGGGCUCAACCUGGGAACGGCAUCCGGAACUGUCAGGCUAGAGUGCAGGAGAGGAAGGUAGAAUUCCCGGUGUAGCGGUGAAAUGCGUAGAGAUCGGGAGGAAUACCAGUGGCGAAGGCGGCCUUCUGGACUGACACUGACGCUGAGGUGCGAAAGCGUGGGUAGCAAACAGGAUUAGAUACCCCAGUAGUC